AACCGGCGGAGCGGCUACGUCACGGUGGCAGGUUCUAAGCGCUGCUGGGCACCGUAAGGCCGCCGUGUGUACCUUCCAGCAGCUACGGGCUGGUGGAAGCGCUGCUCACAGUCAGUGUCGAUUGUAGUUCAUCUCACUGAGGACCUGCUUUCCCGAGCGUCAAUGACAGUAGUAAAUGGAUGUCCGACUCUGACUAUCAAUGUGUCCACUGCACGUGAGCAUUGGCUGGAGGGAAUGCUGAGGCAUGAAAUAGGUACACAUUAUUUUCGAGGUAUUAACAACCUCCAGCAGCCAUGGAACAGUUGGACUGGACGUAAAAAACAUGAGCUAAAGCCAAAUAAUCCCACAGAGGAAGGACUAGCAAGCAUUCACAGUGUUCUGUUUAGAAAAGACCCUUUUUUAUGGAGGGCUGCCCUCCUCUACUACACUGUUUAUCAAGCCAGCCAAAUGUCUUUUUGUGAACUCUUCAAAGAUAUUGGCAGGUUUGUCAAGGACCCCAAUACAAGAUGGGAUUAUUGUGUACGGGCCAAGAGGGGAUGGACUGAUACUUCCCAACCAGG
rnacentral:sRNA from 1 species